rnacentral:rRNA from 1 species
UACGAAGGGAGCUAGCGUUGUUCGGAAUUACUGGGCGUAAAGCGUGCGUAGGCGGUUCGUUAAGUCCGUUGUGAAAGCCCUGGGCUCAACCUGGGAAUGGCAGUGGAUACUGGCGAGCUAGAGUGUGAUAGAGGAUGGUGGAAUUCCCGGUGUAGCGGUGAAAUGCGUAGAGAUCGGGAGGAGCACCAGUGGCGAAGGCGGCCAUCUGGAUCAACACUGACGCUGAGGCACGAAAGCGUGGGGAGCAAACAGG